GUCCGUCUCUAUCGCACGAAAAUGUAACCCCCUUUUCUAUGAUUCCCUUAAAGCAUCCCCUGCAAUCUUCCUUUUUGGUGAUUUCUCCUGCUUAGAGCAGGCCUAAAGGAUGGUAGUCGAUGAUACGAUUUCAUUUCUAUCUUCACUCUUCUCAAAACCACAAACCUAUUUGGCUACACUUAUCAUUUUAGUCCCAUCAUCGAUGCUCUGCAUUUGGUUUCAUGAUCUAGAGUUCUUCUCCUCUUAGAACUCCGGAUCACAAAUGGUGUUCCUUGAGCGGCGGCGAUUUUCACAGCUUCUUCUUCACUAGAGUCUGAUGUGAAUGGCCUUCCUCCGGUGCUUCUAUCUGACAAAUUACAAGGGCACGUGCAUUCUUUUUACAUCGUCACCCAUCUCUCUAAUCUUGCUCUCUCGCUUCUAUGAGUUCUUUUCCCUCUUUCUUCUUCAUCAGUUUCUUUUUUUCAUCACCGUCUUUCCCAUCUCCAAUGCCUUCACUCAUGAACUUCAUGCAUCGAUAGCGAGACUCAGAGGCUCCGACUAACAACGCCUUUUGGGAAAAAAACUGAAGGUUUUAACAUUCCGAGCUCCUCCUUAGGAGAUGCAGUGAAGGAAUCCUGGGGAAUUUUUUGCAGGCGAUAGUAAAGUAGGGUAGGAUUCAUUUUAAUAGCACUCGAAAACUGCAGUGUUGAAGAGAAGGCAUCUAUUUUUGAAGAAAUCCUUCCAUAUUCAUCAAAAUUAGUGAUGGGUGUGUUUGGCAAUUAUGUAAUUUAGAAGGUUUUGUUGCAGGAGAGUAAAAAGGGGUAAAGAGGAAGAGAAAAAGUUGGAAGAAGAAAAGGAUGGGUCGUGGCAGUGGCAGGGAGAGAUCUUAGAUCAUGGCUUAGCAUGGGCUUGCCUAUCAGCAUUGUUUUGAUUAGGCAAGGAAAAAGCCCAUGCUGAGUUAUUUGGUUGCUCGGAACAUAUCACCAUUGUCGUUUAGUUUUUUAGUUGGUGUAGGGUCAUUCAGAGUUACUAUCAUUGCUCUAAGUUUAGCAGGCCAGAUACUGAAUUGUGGAUUGGCAUUAUCCAGGAUCAAGAUUUCAUGAAUUUGGCAAUACAAAAAAUAACCUCUACUAAUAGAAGAAACACAAUAAAGUGAUGAAGACAGCAGUAAGCUUUUGUAUAAAGUUUUUCUUUAACACUAAUAAAGUUGUCUAAUUCAUUUUUUAGUUUAUUUUUGAUUUACAUGUAUCAAAGGUCUUUGCUCAGGUGCAAAGUUAUCAAUUACUUCUUCAUAUAAUAAAAUUGCCAUUUUCUUUUGGUGCAACACCAAUGAUCUCUGCUUCUUAUAAUACAAGACUUGGGGUUCUGUUCUAAUUUAUAUAGAGGUGCAACUAUUUAGGAGGUCUAUGCUUGGACUUGCAAUGAGGCAUUAACCUCCAUAGAAGCUGUUGACAAGUUUUUGGUGUUUAUAUGAGGGUUUAGAUGGUUAAUGGCCUUUUUGUUUUUUUGUUUCCUUUGUGGAUUGUAAUGCUAGGCUUUCUUGAUGGUAAAUUUUGUUUGGUGUAUACAUAUUGAGAAAUAUUGUAGUAAGUUUACAGUUAUGCUAAUAAUUGUUCUUUUUGCGAGAAAUGUAAA